rnacentral:rRNA from 1 species
UACGUAGGUGGCAAGCGUUGUCCGGAUUUACUGGGCGUAAAGGGCGCGUAGGCGGUCGUGACAAGUCACUUGUGAAAUCUCCGGGCUUAACUCGGAACGGUCAAGUGAUACUGUCGGACUAGAGUACAGAAGGGGCAACUGGAAUUCUCGGUGUAGCGGUGAAAUGCGUAGAUAUCGAGAGGAACACCAGCGGCGAAGGCGGCGCUCUGGGCCGGAACUGACGCUGAGGAGCGAAAGCGUGGGGAGCAAACAGG